GACGAUGCUCCGGGGUGUGUCCUGGCCUGCAAAGGCGGACGCUGAGAUGGCCGCGCCGAACCCGCGAACUUGAAUCGGAUCAUACCGACGUAAGAAGAGUCGUCUGCCACGGU
rnacentral:ncRNA from 1 species